rnacentral:rRNA from 1 species
GAUGAACGCUGGCGGCGUGCCUAAUACAUGCAAGUCGAACGCAUAGCGAAAGGUGCUUGCACCUUUCAAGUGAGUGGCGAAAGGGUGAGUAACACGUGGACAACCCGCCUCAAGGCUGGGGAUAACAUUUGGAAACAGAUGCUAAUACCGAAUAAAACUUAGUGUCGCAUGACACAAAGUUAAAAGGCGCUUCGGCGUCACCUAGAGAUGGAUCCGCGGUGCAUUAGUUAGUUGGUGGGGUAAAGGCCUACCAAGACAAUGAUGCAUAGCCGAGUUGAGAGACUGAUCGGCCACAUUGGGACUGAGACACGGCCCAAACUCCUACGGGAGGCUGCAGUAGGGAAUCUUCCACAAUGGGCGAAAGCCUGAUGGAGCAACGCCGCGUGUGUGAUGAAGGCUUUCGGGUCGUAAAGCACUGUUGUAUGGGAAGAACAGCUAGAAUAGGAAAUGAUUUUAGUGUGACGGUACCAUACCAGAAAGGGACGGCUAAAUACGUG